UUAAAUUGAAGAGUUUGAUCAUGGCUCAGAUUGAACGCUGGCGGCAGGCCUAACACAUGCAAGUCGAACGGUAACAGAAAGCAGCUUGCUGCUUUGCUGACGAGUGGCGGACGGGUGAGUAAUGUCUGGGAAACUGCCUGAUGGAGGGGGAUAACUACUGGAAACGGUAGCUAAUACCGCAUAACGUCGCAAGACCAAAGAGGGGGACCUUCGGGCCUCUUGCCAUCGGAUGUGCCCAGAUGGGAUUAGCUAGUAGGUGGGGUAACGGCUCACCUAGGCG
rnacentral:rRNA from 1 species